rnacentral:lncRNA from 12 species
CCCCAAAAAGCAGACGCUUCCACAGGAGAGGAGAGGACAGAGGAUUAAGAGAUCUGACCCAACAAGCAAUCUGUGAACUUCAGCUGGACGACAUCACCAAAAGAACACACGAUUCCUUUUGCUUAGGUAGAAACUGCGUUUCAAAGCAACAGAAAGCAGCAAUUCUUAACACCGGUUGAGCACAGGCAUCACUUUCUGAUAGAGUCAAAUCAGAGCACCUACAGCACCACAGUUCUGUUCAAGGGAAGUCUAGAAACCAAAGCAAUUUCCAUCUUCAGGGCGCUUCAGCGCUUUGGCAUUCCCGCAAGUCUCCGGAGGUGCCCUAGUAACACAGUGCGUGUGAUGGAAACUGAGGCACAGGAAGCAGGAGAGGCGGGUUCGCAUGGAGGCUGUGGCUGCAGAAGCAGAGAAGCCAGGCAAUUCCUUGGUCAAAGCUGCGCCUUAGCAGCUUGAAGUGUCCAGGAGCUCCGGAGAACUACCCUCCCCUCACGGGUGUUUUGACUGCACUUAGUCAAUGCCGAGCACCUACCAGGAGCUCUAACACCGAUCCCUUUGCUCUUUCCAAUCACGCAGAGACACACGCACACCCUGGGGAGGUCCCACCGAAAUACAGGUGACUCUUCUUGAACUUGCAAUGAUCUGCUUUUAACAUCAAGUGACUGACACUUUACAUGGUAGAGCCGAAAGGCAAGGAGAAAGAGUGAUGCUUGCUAUGAAAUAGUAAAUGGAAUACAAUGGAGACCCCUCAAAAAAAAAAAAAAAAAAGGAUAAAACAAUCAUUAAAUAAUUGGAUUAAUGUAGAUAAAGCUAAUAUAUAGGCUUCAAAGGUACUCUCUCCCUCUCUCUGUGCUUUGCUCUUUCUCGGUGCGUGUGUUGGAUGCCACUUAAUCCUCACGACAAACCUAAACUUCGAUGUAAUUGCCUCACAAAUGAGCAUAAGGAACUUGGCUAAGUUAAAACCACCGGGAACUGUUUCAGCUGGAAUGUGAACCCAGUGCAUUCUUUUGUUUUGUUUUACGAUUUUAUUUUUAAGUAAUUUCUACACCCAGCGUGGGGCUCGAACAAACCCCAGAUCAAGGGUCUAGUGCUCUGCCGACUAACCAGCCAGGUGCCCUUGACUCCUGGUCAUUUUGAUUCAAAUGCUGAGUUUCUGGUAUCCUCAUGUUACAGAGAGGACUGAAGCAUAUAUAGGUGAUUCACUAAAUUUACUAAAAUUCAUUGUGUGAGAAAUCUAGAUCUUCUAACACUCUACUGCUUAAUUUUUAUUACUGUUCAGCUAAAUCACCAAAAUGUUAUUUCAACCUUAUGUAAUCAACGUGAACUAAAAAGGAGUCAGAAAAAUCCUUUUUUUUUUUUUUUCCACGUAGCCAGUCCUCAGUUUCUUCAUAGGGAGCCCCAUGUAUUAAAAAUGUAAUACUUUUCUUCUCAUUAACAUAAUAAUGAAUGUUGGGGG